rnacentral:rRNA from 1 species
GGGGCCUCCGUCGAGGUGCUGCAUGGUUGUCGUCAGCUCGUGCCGCGAGGUGUUGGCUUAAGUGCCAUAACGAGCGCAACCCCCAUCGCCAGUUACCAUCAAAUGAAAUUGGGGACUUUGGCGAGACUACCGGCGCAAGGUGCGAGGAAAGCGGGGAAGACGUCAAAUCAGCACGGCCCUUACGUCCGGGGCGACACACGUGUUACAAAGGCAGGCACAGAGAGAAGCGACAUGGCGACAUGAAGCGGAACUGUCAAAACCUGUCUCAGUUCGGAUUGGAGUCUGCAACCCGACUCCAUGAAGCUGGAUUCGCUAGUAAUCGCGCAUCAGCCACGGCGCGGUGAAUACGUUCCCGGGCCUUGUACACACCGCCCGUCAAGCCAUGGAAGCCGGGAGUGCCUGAAGUGCGCAACCGCAAGGAGCGCCCUAAGGUAAAACCGGUGACUGGGGCUAAGUCGUAACAAG